GGAGUUGUAGCUCAGUGGUAGAGCACUUGCCUAGCAUAUAUGAGACCCUGGGUUUGAUUCUCAGCACCG
rnacentral:tRNA from 1 species